AAGACUAUACUUUCAUGGAUCAUUUCUAUAGUUUGUUACUAGUUUUUGCAAUAUAGUAUAUAUACAUACAAUCACAGUCUUGGCUAGGAUGUUGAAGGAACAAUAGGAAAGAA
rnacentral:snoRNA from 1 species